AAGGGUGCGUAGGCGGCUGAUUAAGUCAGCGGUGAAAGGUAGCAGCUUAACUGUUUUACAUGCCGUUGAUACUGGUUAGCUUGAGUUGACAGAAGGCAGAUAGAAUUCCUGGUGUAGCGGUGAAAUGCUUAGAUACCAGGAGGAAUACCGAUUGCGAAGGCAGUCUGCUGCAGUCACACUGACGCUGAGGCUCGAAGGUGCGGGGAUCAAACAGGAUUAGAUACCCCAGU
rnacentral:rRNA from 1 species